rnacentral:rRNA from 1 species
UACAGGGGGUGCAAACGUUGCUCGGAAUUAUUGGGCGUAAAGCGCACGUAGGCGGUUUGUUAUGUCGGAUGUGAAAGCCCUUGGCUCAACUGAGGAAGUGCAUCCGAAACUGGCAAGCUAGAGUAUGUAAGAGGGUCGCGGAAUUCCCGGUGUAGAGGUGAAAUUCGUAGAUAUCGGGAGGAACACCGGUGGCGAAGGCGGCGACCUGGGACAAUACUGAUGCUGAGGUGCGAAAGCGUGGGGAGCAAACAGG